AUUGAACGCUGGCGGCAGGCCUAACACAUGCAAGUCGAACGAGUGGCGGACGGGUGAGUAAUGUCUGGGAAACUGCCCGAUGGAGGGGGAUAACUACUGGAAACGGUAGCUAAUACCGCAUACCAUCGGAUGUGCCCAGAUGGGAUUAGCUAGUAGGGGGGGUAACGGCUCACCUAUGCGACGAUCCCUAGCUGGUCUGAGAGGAUGACCAGCCAAACUGGAACAGAGAAACGGACCAGAUGCCUACGGGAGGCAGCAGUGGGGAAUAUUGAACAAAGGGCGCAAGCCUGAUGCAGCCAUGGCGCGUGUAUGAAGAAGGCCUUCGGGUUGUAAAGUACUUUCAGCGAGGAGGCGUUACUCGCAGAAGAAGCACCGGCGAACUCCGUGCCAGCAGCCGCGAUAAUUC
rnacentral:rRNA from 1 species